GCAGCUGGAAGCAUCUGCUUCUCCGCGGUUUGGUUGCUCCCCCUGGUUGGGUGUCUGUACUCUGUAUAUACCAAGUCUUGACGUCAACGAUGACAUCAUCAAUCCCCUGAUUUUUGAUUUUUUCGUCGUUGUUUUGCUUGCAUAUGCUGUCAAGAAGCGCUUCAUCCCCCGUGAGUUUCUUGAACUUCAUUCAUUCCCCUUUCCCGUCUAGUCCUCCGGACAAGCUUUAACUAAUUCUAAGGUUUUGGGUCGUACGCCAAAGCAAAAAGAAAGCAAAAAGCUUCAGCUUUGAGGCGGUAGUCAUUUUGGCAUCCAAUAGAUGAAUCGUUGUUGGCGGGUUUUCUCUUUCUUUGCCCCCUUUUUUUUUUUUUAUAAGAAACGAUGAAUGUAGAUUGAUAAUAUGGAUCCAAGCACUCAUCUUUCUUUAAUUUUGAGUCACUUCUGUCGAUUGUUCAUUGUUAUAUGCUGGGUCCCGAAUUGUGGUUUAGUUGGUAUGAACAGAAACUUGGAGCUUUUAUGUGAAUUUACAGGAGGCAAUAGUUUAUAAUAUAUGUGCAUACAUUGGAUACUGGUAGUUCGUACAUUAGCAAAAGCUGUUUACUAUAGUGUACAAGUUUCAUCAAGAACUGUAGACAAAAGCAGCAAAAGCUGGUAUGUACAUUAGCAAAAGGUGAUCAUUGACAAAAAUAGGUGACUUUAUGACACUAAACUGAUCUCAAAAGCUGAUGCAAAACAUAGGAAUGGUGCAUGAUUUUAGUCGAUUAUUUGGUGCUUUGGCUGGUCAGUGAUUGUUGCUGGUGGAUCUCUUUUCUUAGUUGCUGUAGCUUGUGCGAUGGUUGGAUUGGUUGUGUCUUUGCUUGAAUCUUCAGUUGCAAUUUGUUGAUCAGGUAGGUUUGAUGAUGAGGCUUCAUUGGUUGCUGGUGCAGGGGUCUGUGUAGGAUCUUCAAUUGGUAGACAAGCGAGGAUGUUGUACUUUGCUACAAUUGUGUUUUGUAGAGGAUGAGUGAAUUUCCUGACUUGAAAACGAAAUGUGCUCAUAUGGAGCUUUAUAUUGAUGUCUGCAAUAUCUGGAAUUUGGUUCUGUGGACAUUGGUUUCUGAAUGAGUAUGUCUUUGGUUUGGUAUAUGAAUAGUGUGAAUAAAUUUGUAUUCUAUAAAAAGUAAUGUUGUUAAUGUUCAAAAUUACCUUUAGUGUCAUGUAGAGUAUGUCUUCAGCAGAGAUGUUGAGAAUGUGUUGAGCAUGCUGGUCUUCAAUUUGUGCAGUAAUUGUUCCAGUAGUAUCAGACAGUUGCACUAAGAACUUGAGCCUGCAUUAAGUAUUAUGGUUUUGUUAUGUUAUGAUAAGAAGAAUGUUAUGAAUUUUAGUGUGUAAAUAUGUUUAUGGAUUUACCUUGGCAGUGGUUUUGCAAAUGUCAUGUUGCAAUGACGGCAUAAGAAGUUGAAAUUUGCUUGAGCUCCAGUUUGUUUCUUGCAAUUAGAAGCUGGACAGGUAAGGAUGUAGAGUCGAUGUUGAGGCUGAACUAUCUUUGCUUUGGCUUUGAUCCAGAAUGGCUUUGCCUGUAAGAUUUCAUGUGGUUAAAUAUUAGAUUUUGUUGUGAUAGUAUUUGUUAUCGAAUAUAUUGUAUUUUGUACUGAUAAAUGUAGUAGUUGUACCAGAUAAGGAGUAUUUAGUGCAUAGCUGAUGUCGUGCAUAUGUUCUUCAGGAGGAGGUUGGACUGUUUGAUGAGUUGCAUCAUAAAGUUUUUUUGCUAAAACUUGCUCAAUAUAAGGUCUGCUUGCUUUGGUCCUGUUAUAUUGUAUAGGAUGGUGUCAGAUUUUGGUUAUAAUGUGCCUAACGAAUAAGUAAAUAUUGACUUUAUCAACUUACCAACUUUUGAGUUCUAGUGCUUGAGGGAUUUGUGGAUCAAACAAGAUAGCACUCAUUGUUUGUGUCUCGACAGAUAAAACUGUUAUAUGAUUAUUUGAAAAAUUAGUACUAUAUUCUGUAAAGCAGAUAAUAUACUUGACUUUUGUAAGUUUAUAUGAAUUAGGGACAGAUUGACAUACCAUGUACUGAAGUCACUUUGGCUCUUGUUAUAAUCAAUGUCGGGGAUUGAUUUAAGAUCCUCAGAAGGUAUUGUGCUUCAAUGUCAAUGAAUUUUGGCCACAUUGUAAGUAUCAUUGGCUUUUGUCUGCAUCAGUUAUCAAUAGUUAAUAUGAGUUUUGUGUUGUAUUGCACUUUAUUAAUUUGCAUUGUUUUUAUACUUACUCUUGAUUUAGGAUGAUGAAUUCUUGAAUUGGAUAAUCGCCUCUUUGUCGUGCAAUGAAGCGACGGGGAAGAGCUCCAAUGACAGUGCAUAGCAGAGCUGAGACAAGAGCAUUAGGUAUUAGUAUUGAUAUGUAAGAAUCAUUGUAGUAACAAUGUAAUGAAAAUUAUUAAAGUGAAGUAGUACUUAUCGGAUUUGUAUUUGUAUCCAUGUACUUAUAGAAGUCUCUGAAUGGUGUAAAAUUGUAGCACUGAUCGAUAGGAUACUGGUUUUCUUGAUCUGCUUCUUUGAUGAAUGUACCUCUGGUCAAGGUUAGUUGAAAUGGUGAAGUGCAGUAUCUGAAAUUUUCUAUUGUUAUAGGCUCCACCUUUGCAUUGCCAAUGUAGUAUGUAGAGUACAAGACAAGUGCUUGAUCUAGAGCUUGUAUGUCUCUUGUGUAUGAGACAGCUUGGAUUGUACUUUUCUGUAUUUUGCAGCAACAGAGAAUAAAAUAUAAUGAGUGAGUUUUUACUUCUAUUCUGUAGAACAUUUUCCUUAUGUACUCUUUAUAUGAAUAAAUUUACCUCUUUGUCAAGGAACAGAUAUUUCUGAAAUGUAGUACUUCCAUCUUUACUGAUACGGGGAGCUGUUUUCUCAAUGAGAAUAGCUUUUGCAACCCAAUCUUCUUUUUCUUGUGCUAUUUCUGUAAUGGGAAUACAGAGCUCUUCUAUUUCACUGCAAGAUUAGUCAGCAUUUAUGUAUACAGAUAAGUAUAUACAGUGUCCAUGGCAUAGUGCUGUAAAAAGAGCUGGUCAAAGAAUCAAUAUAUCACUAAAGCAGAUUUAUGAAAAGAACCAAAAUGGUAAAUAAUGAUAGAAAACAUAAGGAAAAUAAUAGAGGAAGUGCGAGGAAGUAGGAGUUAGCUAUUAGUUACUGCUGAAAGCACUUCUUGAUAGACAACAUUUCGUGUAAAAUUGGUGCUUUCUGUUUGUCUGUGUGGUGGCUGUAUCAGGACUUUAAUGUUAGUAGCUGUCCGUGCUCUUGACAAAGCAACGUAAAGUUGUCCAUGAGAAAAAACUGGUUCUCUGAGGUAAAGUCCAACAUAAUCAAGUGUUUGCCCUUGAGCUUUAUUAAUGGUCAUUGCGAAACACAAACGUAGUGGAAAUUGAGUUCUUUUGAACUGUACUGAAGACAAUUCCUCAUCAGAAGCUUGUAAUGGUAUCCUUGGAAUGAAAACAAUUUUUCCUGCAAAAGAGCCAAAUGCUAUCUGUGCUUGAAUUAUGUUAUUCGAAAAUUCCUUACAGAUUAGGCGUGUACCAUUUGAUAGGCCCUCACUUGGAUUGAUGUUUCUGAGAAGCAUGACUGGACAGUUCUUUUUCAGUAGUAGCUCAUGUAAAGGGAGGCCCUUAGGUGUAAGAGAAUGCAGUAGAUCUUGAUCUUGGAACUGUACUGAGGAGUCUAAUGGUUCAUCAUUGCUGAAGUAGGUUAUUUCUGCUCCUGGAAAUUUCAUUAUCAAUUUAUGAUUAAUCUGAUGAACAAAGUCAUUUCUUGUCAUCAAUAUUGCUCGAUUGAUGAUAGAUGAUGUUGUUGAAGUAAUGUACUCCAUAUUUGGGAACACAGUAUCAAUCAGAGCAUUUAUGGAAGUUUCAUCAUCUUGAAAAGGAAUGUUGAUUGAUUCUGGUAUCUGGACUUCAUCUUGAUCAGUAGUUUGCUGAAUUCCAUCUCCAAUUCUCAUCAAGAAUGUGGAAAAAUCUGGAUCAAGUCUAGCUCUCAUAUUGAUUGUUAAUCUGAUCUUUUCGAAUUUGCUCCAUAAUGGUGACAUGACAAGACUGGUAUCUAUGAUAUCUUCUCUGGUACCAUGUGUGAUCACUGGUAAAGUCUGACGAAAGUCACCACCAAAGACAAUGAUUUUUCCACCAAAUAAAUGGUCGUUAUUUGUUAUGUCUUGUAACAUCUUGUCAAGGGCUUCAACUGACUUUCUUUUAGCCAUAGUAGCUUCAUCCCAUAUAAUGAGCUUUGCAUCUCUGAUUAGCUGAGCCAAGACACUUUGCUUGCUGAUGUUGCAGUACUUAUUUUGAUCAUCAUUAAUGGGGAUUUUGAACCUUGAGUGUGCAGUUCGACCUCCAGGAAGAAUGGAUGCUGCUACACCUGAUGUUGCAGUAGCAAGUGCUAUGCAGCCUUGUGAUCUUAUAGUUGCAAGCAGAGCUUUAUAGAG
rnacentral:lncRNA from 1 species